rnacentral:rRNA from 1 species
AACAUGUGGUUUAAUUCGAUGAUACGCGAGGAACCUUACCUGGGUUUAAAUGGGAGUGACAGCUGUCGAAAGAUGGUUUUCUUCGGACACUCUUCAAGGUGCUGCAUGGUUGUCGUCAGCUCGUGCCGUGAGGUGUCGGGUUAAGUCCCAUAACGAGCGCAACCCACGUCGUUAGUUGCCAACAGGUCAAGCUGGGAACUCUAACGAGACUGCCGGUGUAAACCGCGAGGAGGGUGUGGAUGACGUCAAAUCAGCACGGCCCUUACAUCCAGGGCUACACACGUGUUACAAUGGUCGGUACAGAGGGCAGCUACCAGGCAACUGGAUGCGAAUCUCAAAAACCGGUCUCAGUUCGGAUUGGAGUCUGCAACCCGACUCCAUGAAGCUGGAUUCGCUAGUAAUCGCGCAUCAGCCAUGGCGCGGUGAAUACGUUCCCGGGCCUU